ensembl:piRNA 21ur-7103 ncRNA
UCAGAAAAUUGCUAUGAAUAU